GUGGUCUAUGGUGAAUGCUAUCGCUGGAGUAAGUUGUUUACCUUCAAUUUGGGAAGCGUCAUGAUUGGACUACCCUGAUGGCGUCAUGAUCGCUGCUGAUUGCCUUUCAAAUAGGUUUUCAGCAUUCUGCUUACACCUUUGGCAUAGAGUCACAUAUUUCACAAUCCAACAUCAAUUGGUAGCAACAGCAGCCCUUCUCUCCAUCAUCCAGAAGGGUCUGAGAUCAGUGUUGGAGAUGAUGGUUCGGAACAACCCAUGGAAAGCUUAUCACUCAUUGAUGCUGUGAUGCCUGAUGUUGUUGCAAGUCGUCAACAGCAAACACAGAACAAUCAGAAACCACAAGUGGUAAAGACAGAACCACCAAAUUCCAAUGGAGAUGAACCCAUGCAUUCCUAUCGCUGGGAAGAGGAAACAGGAGUAGAGAUACCUGCCAGCAAAUCAACUGUACUACGUGGCCAUGAAUCUGAAGUUUUCAUCUGCGCCUGAACCCAACAACUGAUUUAUUGGCUUCUGGCUCUGGUGAUAGCACUAAGGACAUACGAAUGAAGUAAACGCUAUCAAGUGGGAUCCUCAGGGUAAUCUUUUGGCUUCCUGUUCUCACGAUAUUGUGUACAGUGUCGCAUUUUCUCCCGAUGGCAAAUACCUAGCAUCUGGUAGCUUUGACUAAGGUGUACACAGCUGGUCUACUCAGUCAGGGCAAUUGUUACACAGCUACAAAGGAACUAGAGGCAUUUUUGAAGUUUGCUGGAAUUCUCGGGGCGAUAAAGUUGGAGCAAAUGCUUUUGACGGAACCGGGUUGGUUACUAUUCACGUUCUUCAGCAAUCAGAUCCAUGCAGUGCUUGCUAAAUCCGUGCAGAUCCAAUCGGCCAAUUAAUUCGGCCAUUGUGACAGGUUUCAAGUGAAGCGAAAACGGACAAAUUACCAAACUGGAAUCAGCGCAAGCGACAGCUCUUAUGCAAGAAGUCGUACCUACCCUCACAAGUUUGUUUGAAGUGCAUAAUGGAAUUAUACAUCUCCAACAAAUAAGUCUUCUAAUCCUGUGGCAGGCGCACGGUUGAAAGCCGAAAAUUUCAAAAGGUACAAGUUGGCAUUAAACGCUUUGUGUUUCCUCAUUAAGGUUGAAAGGAGUACAAUCAUGGAAACAUUACUAGUUGGCCUUAGAACUACUCAUCGUCGCUCUCAUGAGACAUAUUGUAUCGGUCGAUUUCUUCGUCGUUAAUGUUUAAGGGGUGGUCGGGAACGACAGUGGGGAAUGAAGUUUUUAGUUCAAGAACUAUUUCUUCAAGUAGUUCCAUGACCACAGGGUAAAUAAGAUGGAGUUUUUCAACUGGGUCUCCUUUUUCCUAUGGGCCCUAAUUUUUUCGUGAGAAAGAAGCUUCUGCGUAAGCUUAACGUCCUCGCACAGCUGUUGAAGAACCAUUGUCAUCUUAUAAAACGGUAGAUUGGGCCCACCCGCCAACUGUUAAGAGUGUAAAAAUAAGUAUUUUAAAUAUUUAUAUCAAAUAUUUAUAUUUAUAAAUUUACCUUAUUCCAAUCAUUAUGAAGAACUGGGGAACUUGUGUUGAAAGCGGCAAAACUCGUCUGAUGGUACCAUCAAAGAGAGAAAAAGACAGGCCACCACGAAAUCAUAAUUAAGGGAAAUUUCAAAAUAUAAAACAAGCGGUUAACAAAUUGAA